rnacentral:rRNA from 1 species
UGAUCAAGCUACAAAGAGCGCAUCAUGGAUGCCUUGGUGCCAAUAGGCGAUGAAGGACGUGGUAAGCUGCGAUAAGUCACGGAGAGCGGCAAACACGCUUUGACCCGUGAAUUUCCGAAUGGGAUAACCUGAGCGAGCUAACACUUGCUCGAGCUUCUGUGAAUUCAUAGCAGAAGCAUCGCGACACCCGGUGAAGUGAAACAUCUCAGUAACCGGAGGAAGAGAAAUCGAAAGAGAUUCCGUCAGUAGUGGCGAGCGAAAGCGGAACAGGCUAAACCCUCGCCAUUUCAGGAUCCAAACUGGAAGAGAAGACAGAAUGUACAGAAUUAUGCAGAAUUCAGAAGACGAUAUCUUCUGAACCUAAUUCGGUUUAUUUUGUUAAUUCUGUCAAAAAUUUGGGUUUUGAAGUGGCGGGGGGGUUGUAGGAGCCCGAUGUGGUAGUGCAAAGGUUAGGUGAAGCUUCUGGAAAGCUGCGCCCCAGAGGGUGAAAGGCCCGUAACCGAAAACCCGAGCACGCCUAGGGAUUUCCUGAGUAAUACGAUGCACGUGAAACUUCGUAUGAAUCUGCGCCGACCACGGCGUAAGCCUAAAUACUAAUUGGCGACCGAUAGUGAACAAGUACCGCGAGGGAAAGGUGAAAAGAACCGCUAUGAGCGGAGUGAAAUAGUACCUGAAAUGAUGUGCUUACAAGGUGUCAAAGCCCAGCACCAGUUGGACAGAUGAUGUCCGAACGAGACUGCGAUAUUGCAGUCCAACUGGUGCUGGGUGAUGGCGUGCCUUUUGCUUAAUGAGUCUGCGAGUUAUUAUCAGUGGCGAGCCUAAGGCGUUCUGCGCUGGAGGCGAAGCGAAAGCGAGUCCGAAAUGGGCGACCCAGUCGCUGGUAGUAGACCCGAAGCGGAGGUGAUCUACCCAUGAGCAGGAUGAAGCGCGGGUAAAACCGUGUGAAGGUCCGAACCGGUGAAAGUUGAAAAUUUCUCGGAUGACUUGUGGGUAGGAGCUAAAGACUAAUCAAACCCCGUGAUAGCUGGUUCUCCCCGA